rnacentral:rRNA from 1 species
GAUGGCUCUAACUGAACACUGUCCAAGUACUUGACACAUGCUAAUCGAACGACUAAUUAGUUUAAUUAUUAUCUAAUAUUUAAAUUAAGUAGUAGUGGUGUACAGGUGAGUAAAAGAUAAAUUGGCUACCUUAAAGUAAGGGAAAAAAUCCCUUAUAACCAAAGGUUAAUAUUACCGCUUUAAGAUGAUAAUUUUUAUCUCGGUGAGUAGUAGGAAAGGUAAUGACUUUUCUAGCAAUAAACCGUAGUCGUAACUGGAAAGUUGAUCGACCACAUUGGGUCUGAAAAAAACCCAAUGCUUUUAUGUACAGCAGUGAGGAAUAUUGGUCAAUGGCCGAAAGGCUGAACCAGUAACUUGGAAGAAUGUCUAUGUAACUUGUAUGGUUACAUUCGCGAUUAACUCGCAUAAAAUUCUAAAUAGAUUGUAUAUAAUGACAUAAUCUAUUUAUAAGUC